rnacentral:tRNA from 1 species
AGUAGCUCAGUUGGUUAGAGCACCUGACUGUUAAUCAGGGGGUCGCUGGUUCAAGUCCAGCCU